GCCCUUGCGGCUGCCGUGGCAGCACCGGACAAAAUGGCGGGAGCGGGUGGCAGCGAUGGCCAAACCCUGGCUCCCAGGAUGGAGAUCAUAGAAAUGAGUGAUGAGUUAAGAAGCAAGCAAGAAAUUGUGAAUGGAUUGAAUAUAUUUUUGGAAGAAAAUGGAGAAAGAAACAGAAACUCUAAGUGAAGAUGGUAGUUCAAAAGAAGCACAUGAUAUAUCAGUGAAAUACACAAAUUUCUUUAAAAUCUAUAACUUUUAUUCAAAUAUAAGACAUAUAUGUCCUAUAUUUAUGAAUCACCAGUAGGGUAGAAUGUGGGCCUUUGAGUUGGAAAGCUUCAGGUUUAAAUUCCAGCUUUAUCUUUUAUUAGCUCUGUUACUGUAGACUAUUCAACUUCUAUGUGCAUCCUCUGUGUUGUAUGGGGAAAAUAAUUUACUUUGCCAAGUUUUGUAAAGACAAAAUAAGGGAAAUGUAAAGCAACUAGUACAAUACCUAGGACAUAGUAGAUACUCAGUGAAUAUGAGUUCACAUCCCUUAUUCUUUUGUCCUAUUUCUUAAGGGAAUAUAACAGUUAAAAACCAAAGCAUU